rnacentral:rRNA from 1 species
CUACGGGCGGCUGCAGUGGGGAAUAUUGCACAAUGGGCGCAAGCCUGAUGCAGCAACGCCGUGUGAGUGAUGAAGGUCUUCGGAUUGUAAAACUCUGUCCUAUGGGAAGAAAAAAAUGACGGUACCAUAGGAGGAAGCCCCGGCUAACUACGUGCCAGCAGCCACGGUAAUACGUAGGGGGCAAGCGUUAUCCGGAAUCACUGGGCGUAAAGGGUGCGUAGGCGGCCUAUCAAGUCAGAGGUGAAAGGCAUUGGCUCAACCAAUGUAAGCCUUUGAAACUGUUAGGCUUGAGUGCAGGAGAGGUAAGUGGAAUUCCUAGUGUAGAGGUGAAAUUCGUAGAUAUUAGGAGGAACACCAGUGGCGAAGGCGACUUACUGGACUGUAACUGACGCUGAGGCACGAAAGCGUGGGGAGCGAACAGGAUUAGAUACCCGCGUAGUC